UGUGGAUUAAUUCGAUGCAACGCGAAAACCUUACCUACCCUUGACAUGUCCGGAAUCCCGAAGAGAUUUGGGAGUGCUCGCAAGAGAGCCGGAACACAGGUGCUGCAUGGCUGUCGUCAGCUCGUGUCGUGAGAUGUUGGGUUAAGUCCCGCAACGAGCGCAACCCUUGUCAUUAGUUGCCAUCAUUUGGUUGGGCACUCUAAUGAGACUGCCGGUGACAAACCGGAGGAAGGUGGGGAUGACGUCAAGUCCUCAUGGCCCUUAUGGGUAGGGCUUCACACGUCAUACAAUGGUCGGUACAGAGGGUUGCCAACCCGCGAGGGGGAGCUAAUCCCACAAAGCCGAUCGUAGUCCGGAUCGCAGUCUGCAACUCGACUGCGUGAAGUCGGAAUCGCUAGUAAUCGUGGAUCAGCAUGUCACGGUGAAUACGUUCCCGGGUCUU
rnacentral:rRNA from 1 species